rnacentral:rRNA from 1 species
UACGAAGGGGGCUAGCGUUGUUCGGAAUUACUGGGCGUAAAGCGCGUGUAGGCUGCUUCGCAAGUCGGAUGUGAAAGCCCUGGGCUCAACCCAGGAAGUGCAUUCGAAACUGCAGAGCUGGAGUCCUGGAGAGGAAGGCGGAAUUCUCGGUGUAGAGGUGAAAUUCGUAGAUAUCAAGCGGAACACCGGUGGCGAAGGCGGCCUUCUGGACAGUGACUGACGCUGAGACGCGAAAGCGUGGGGAGCAAACAGG